rnacentral:rRNA from 1 species
UACGUAGGGGGCAAGCGUUGUCCGGAAUCAUUGAGCGUAAAGAGCGUGUAGGCGGUCCGGUAAGUCCGCUGUGAAAGUCGGGGGCUCAACCCUCGAAUGCCGGUGGAUACUGUCGGGCUAGAGUGCGGAAGAGGCGAGUGGAAUUCCUGGUGUAGUGGUGAAAUGGCGACAGAUAUCAGGAAGAACACCCGUGGCGAAGGCGGCUCUCGUGGGACCGGUAC